CACGGGGGGAGCAAGCGUUGUUCGGAAUCACUGGGCGUAAAGGGCGUGUAGGCGGUCAAGUAAGUGGGAUGUGAAAUCCCUCGGCUCACCCGAGGACCUGCAUCCCAAACUGCUUGGCUUGAGUAUGGGAGAGGAUGAGGGAAUUCCUGGUGUAGCGGUGAAAUGCGCAGAUAUCAGGAAGAACACCCGUGGCGAAGGCGGCUCUCUGGGACGGUACUGACGCUGAGACGCGAAAGCGUGGGGAGCGAACAGG
rnacentral:rRNA from 1 species